rnacentral:rRNA from 1 species
GAUGAACGCUAGCUACAGGCUUAACUCAUGCAAGUCGCGGGGCAGCAUGGGGGUUGCUUGCAAUCCCCGAUGGCGACCGGCGCACGGGUGAGUAACGCGUAUCCAACCUGCCCUUCACCACGGGAUAACCCGGCGAAAGUCGGACUAAUACCGUAUGUUGUCCAUUGACGGCAUCCGAUUUGGACGAAAGGUUUGGCGGUGAAGGAUGGGGAUGCGUCCGAUUAGCUGGACGGCGGGGUGACGGCCCACCGUGGCGACGAUCGGUAGGGGUUCUGAGAGGAAGGUCCCCCACACUGGAACUGAGACACGGUCCAGACUCCUACGGGAGGCAGCAGUGAGGAAUAUUGGUCAAUGGGCGUAAGCCUGAACCAGCCAAGUAGCGUGCAGGAUGACGGCCCUAUGGGUUGUAAACUGCUUUUAUGCGGGGAUAAAGUGGCCCACGUGUGGGUUUUUGCAGGUACCGCAUGAAUAAGGACCGGCUAAGUCCGUG